CCAAUAUACCAUACCGACUUGUCAAAGUCUGAUCUCGUCUGAUCUCAGAAGCUGAGCAGGACUGGGCCUGGUUAGUACUUGGGAGACUGCUGUGAAUACCAGGGGCCACAGUGGC
rnacentral:rRNA from 1 species